rnacentral:rRNA from 1 species
AGGACGAACGCUGGCGGCGUGCCUAACACAUGCAAGUGGAGCGACGAACCAGGCUUCGGCCUGGGGCAGAGCCGCGAACGGGUGAGUAACACGUGGGUAACCUGCCCUGAUGAUUGGGACAACCCGAGGAAACUCGGGCUAAUACCGAAUGUGCCCUCUGGCCUCAAGGCCUCUGGGGAAAGGAAGCUUCGGCCUCCGCAUCGGGAUGGGCCCGCGGCCCAUUAGCUUGUUGGUGAGGUAACGGCUCACCAAGGCAACGAUGGGUAGCUGGUCUGAGAGGACGAUCAGCCACACUGGGACUGAGACACGGCCCAGACUCCUACGGGAGGCAGCAGUGGGGAAUAUUGGACAAUGGGCGCAAGCCUGAUCCAGCAAUGCCGCGUGUGUGAAGAAGGCCUUCGGGUUGUAAGCACUUUUAUCAGGAACGAAAUACCACGGGUUAAUAACCUAUGGGCUGACGGUACCUGAGGAAUAAGCACCGGCUAACUUCGCGCCAGCAGCCGA